UGGAGACGUGGGCAAAGCAGCCAGUACUAACAACCCAGCGGCUCCCACUCCCCGAGCCCCGCUCGUUACCUGUGAUCGACUUUCGUCCUCAUCAAGACCUGACAGGGAGGUGUCCUGUCCCCUUCUUGCUAAUGGGAAAACGGAGGCUCAAAGAGGUGAGCCGACUUGCCCAAGGUCGCACAGUAAGGAGAGACGGGAUUCCUAGCACGAAAUCUAAGCACAAAGCCAGCCUGCAGCGCCCCGGCAUCCACUGGGACACAGCCUCUGGCCCUCCCUGAGCAGCCUGUGGCCUGCCUGCCUCCCUAACAAGCCUGACAGCAAUUUGGGGGCAGGACCAAGCUGGCUCAUCACCACAUCUCUUGUGUCUGUGCAUUGAGCUAAUGAGAGGAAAUCAGCAAAAGCCACAGGUAACUAAAUACGGGGAGGUGGCUCCCCAGUCCCGCCGUGGGCUCAGAGCCUUGACAACUUCGUGGUCAGAAGCUCGGGCUUUGGAUCGACUUGGAUCUCUUUUCUCAUGACUUAUGCUUGUGUGACCCAUGGGAAAUCCCUGACAAGUCUGAGCCUCAGUUUCCUCAUCUAUAAAAAGGGAACAGUGGCAGCUGCCUCAUGUCUAGUGGAGGCAUGUAUGACAAUGCAUGUGAGGCACUAAGCCGGGCCCCACACACUGUCAGCCCUCCCCCAUCAGCCAUGGGGAGGCGGCACACGUGGCGAUGAGCAGGGUCUGGAAUAAUGAGCAAGAGCCUCUGCGUCAUCCCAUGGGGCCUGUCAGGGAAGUUGGUCCCAUCUUACAGGGAAGACCGGGGCUGAGAGAGGCUGGGUGUCUGAACCCAUGGGCUGCGUUCCUGGGGAGCUGAGGCCGAGUUGGUAGGGCUCAUGGCCUGCAGGACCCUCCCCACCCACUAUCUGCAGAGAAAGGCUCAGAUCAAUGCUCCGGGCAGCCCUAGAGUACCGCUGACUCUGUGACCCUGCCCCCGGGGCCAGAGGCAGGGAAGGGACUGGGCCUGCUCUGCACAGGGGCCCUCGUGUAAGCAGCCCGUCUCGGCAGCCAACAGAACCCAGGGAGCGUUUAGGCCACCUCUUCUCUGUCCUGAGAGGAGCUGUAGGGGCCGGAGACGGGUAAGCGAGCUGCCCUGGACUUCGAGGAACACAGCAGGGGAGGGGACGUGACCACACUGGCUGCAGUCCCAGGCGGGGUCAGGUAGGAGCCACCAGAAGCAACAUAAACCAGGCGUCGUGGGGCCGGGGGCAGGGGAGAAGGCCCUGGGCGGAGCGUCUUGC
rnacentral:lncRNA from 1 species